AGUGAACGCUGGCGGUAGGCCUAACACAUGCGAGUCGAACGGCAGCACAGUAAGAGCUUGCUCUUACGGGUGGCGAGUGGCGGACGGGUGAGGAAUACAUCGGAAUCUACUUUUUCGUGGGGGAUAACGUAGGGAAACUUACGCUAAUACCGCAUACGACCUACGGGUGAAAGCAGGGGAUCUUCGGACCUUGCGCGAUUGAAUGAGCCGAUGUCGGAUUAGCUAGUUGGCGGGGUAAAGGCCCACCAAGGCGACGAUCCGUAGCUGGUCUGAGAGGAUGAUCAGCCACACUGGAACUGAGACACGGUCCAGACUCCUACGGGAGGCAGCAGUGGGGAAUAUUGGACAAUGGGCGCAAGCCUGAUCCAGCCAUACCGCGUGGGUGAAGAAGUCCUUCGGGUUGUAAAGCCCUUUUGUUGGGAAAGAAAAGCAGCAGGUUAAUACCCCGCUGUUCUGACGGUACCCAAAGAAUAAGCACCGGCUAACUUCGUG
rnacentral:rRNA from 1 species